rnacentral:rRNA from 1 species
UACAGAGACUGCAAGCGUUAUUCGGAUUCACUGGGCGUAAAGGGUGCGCAGGCGGCCAAGUGUGUUAGGCGUGAAAGCCCGGGGCUUAACCCCGGAAUUGCACCUAAAACUACAUGGCUAGAGCAUUGGAGAGGGUAGCAGAAUUCACGGUGUAGCAGUGAAAUGCGUAGAUAUCGGGAGGAACACCAGUGGCGAAGGCGACUUCCUGGCCUGUUCUUGACGCUGAGGCGCGAAAGCUAGGGGAGCAAACGGG